rnacentral:sRNA from 1 species
CCCGCUCUAGGAUAUCGUUGAUAUCCUUUUGGUGCAGCUUCAAGAAGAAAUUUGAACGCCGAUGGGUUUUGUGUUUGUGCUAGUCCGGACGGAACCCCAAGUACAGACAACAAAAGCGAUUGGUAUCAGUUUGACGAAUGAUCACGAUUGAGGUAGGAAACGAUUAUCUGGCAACUGUGGGUGCCGCUGUGCGGAAAGUCACUGCUCGAAAGCGAAGAUGAGGUUGUGCAAGGACAUUGUCGAUUGAUCUGAAGAACCAACUGGUUUGCGUGGAUCACCUGAUUCCUCCUGACAAUUUUUUAGCCUCAGGCAAUAGGUUAUUUCAACAACAAGAGCAGCAACGGUUGAUGCCCCGGGUUUCUCUUCCUCGAUAAUCCAGCGCUUGUUCGACUGUUCGGCAUACUGUUCGGCGUAAUUGCCAUCUGCUGCGGUGAUCUCUAACUUUAUAUUUCUUUGUGUGCCUUGCGGAGAUCUGAAAUCCCUACAUCACCUGGGCGCCUCUCCUAUUCCUUUAAAGCCAGUCGACUACAGCCUCAGCCGCAUGAACAACUUUGUGGCGUUGAUUUACCUUGCUCAUGGGCAUUCCGUUAAGACAACCAGAGGCUAUUGGCAAAGACGAUUAAAGGAUACUAGUAACAGGAUUUGGGUUAACCCCCAUCAACCAACAGUGUUUUUUUUAUUUGAUCCAGCGUG